UCCCUGGUGGUCCAGUGGUUAGGACUCUGCACUCUCACUACUGGGGGCCCAGGUUCGAUCCUUGGCCGGGGAA